CACUUUGAUUUUUAUCAGAUAUUUGUCUUUGUGCUAAUAUAUGGUUAUGAAGUUCUACUGUUUCAGAUGGAUUUCGUUAAUAAGUGUUCAUGGGAUUAAUACAACAAUCUUCAGCAUUAAUACAAUUUUUCUUUUCUUUCACUAUAAAGGAUUCUUAUUCGUUUGGUUGUUGAAAGAUACCAAGAACUCUCAUCAAAACUAGAGUACAAUUUUCCAUUGAAGUAGCAAGAGUAGAUCUAUGGAGGUGCUUUCCAGGAUUUUGAAGUAACGUGAAGCUGAAUAUUGAAAAUAUGCAAAGACAAAAAGGCUCGAGCGGGAAUCAGGGAGGUUCACUUCCAUUGACUUACAUCGACAGCAGAAGGCAGUAGUCAAGGUGCUCUCCUGAUUAGGUGGUGCUAGAGAAAACGAAGGAAAGCCUAGGUGCAUGGUGCAACAUAUGGUAAUUUGUUGGAUUGUUGCCCCCAAGACAUGAAAGUACUGAAACCAUUGGAAGGGCUUUGACUCUCGGUGUUAACAUCAAGAUGAUCACUGAUAACCAGUUGUAAACUUGGAAUGGGAAUAAACAUGUAUCCAUCUUCGGCUUUUCUUGGUACGCACAAGUGGUAGGAACCAACAAACCCCAUGGAUGAAUAUGUCUCUCAAGUCUCAAUGGUUGUAAGUUUUGUCACGUAAGAGACAUGGAGAACAUACCUGGCAGAGAAUCAAGUGAAUUCCUCCAAAGAACUGAUCAGAUUAGAAAGAGCUAGUGUCUUGCGGCUGAAUAGGUAAACAUUCUUAGAAUAAAACUACUAGCAAAUUGGAAAUAUGUUAUACCCAUCUUUCUCAGAUUUUUUCAGAAUGGGAGAUAUGUAAAGGAAGGAACAAAUACUUUUGACAAACUAUUUAGGCCAUCGUCAAAGAUUUUGCAACAUACACAUCCAUUAAUUAGUAUUCAGUAGACAGUGGAAAGAAGUGUCUAAAGGAAACUUGAACCCAGAUGUCUGCAUAGAGGUAAAUCCACAUAAGAUCUCACACCCUCGGCCAAGUUCACAUCACACAUUAGAAUUAUAGAACCUUGACGUGUCUUUAUUCGGUGGAGCAUGGAAUUCUUCUCAUUGUAGAUCGCUGCUUGACAUUGUUUGACAAUCCACUGGUCGACUCUCUUCACACAACUUACAAUGAGCUCAAGCUUAAAAAUGGGUGUGUUCGGCAUUCUAAAUCAAUGUCACAAAGGAGACAAGCGGUAAGAACCACCAAACCCCAUUGACGAAGAUGGUCUCCUGGAAGAUUUGGCACGUAAGAGACGUAGAGAACAUACUUGUUGGAGCAUCAAAUGAUUUCCUCCAAAGAAAUUGAUUAGAUUGGGAAGACUAGUGUCUCGCGGCUGAAUAGGUAAGCAUGCUUGGAGCAUAACGGCUAGCGGCAAUGUCCAACUGCCAUUAGGAACAACCUGAAAAUCUACAUCGACCUCUUUGAUAGCGUGAUAUAGUCAUGUGUGCAUGCAUACAUUCAUAUGUGCAUACAUUCAUACAUCCAUACAUUCAUGCAUACAUUCAUACAUUCAUACAUUCAUACAUUCAUACAUCCAUACAUGCAUGCAUACAUUCAUACAUGCAUACAUUCAUACAUUCAUACAUCCAUACAUGCAU
rnacentral:sRNA from 1 species